GAUGAACGCUAGCGGCAGGCUUAAUACAUGCAAGUCGUGGGGCAGCAUGAAUGUAGCAAUACAUUUGAUGGCGACCGGCAAACGGGUGCGGAACACGUACACAGCCUUCCUAUAAGUGGGGAAUAGCCCAGAGAAAUUUGGAUUAAUACCCCGUAACAUAACGAUGUGGCAUCACAUUGUUAUUAUAGCUUCGGCGCUUAUUGAUGGGUGUGCGGCUGAUUAGAUAGUUGGCGGGGUAACGGCCCACCAAGUCUACGAUCAGUAGCUGAUGUGAGAGCAUGAUCAGCCACACGGGCACUGAGACACGGGCCCGACUCCUACGGGAGGCAGCAGUAAGGAAUAUUGGUCAAUGGACGCAAGUCUGAACCAGCCAUGCCGCGUGAAGGAUUAAGGUCCUCUGGAUUGUAAACUUCUUUUAUCUGGGACGAAAAAAGGCUUUUCUAAGUCACUUGACGGUACCAGAUGAAUAAGCACCGGCUAACUCCGUGCCAGCCGCCGCGGUAAAAC
rnacentral:rRNA from 1 species